rnacentral:rRNA from 1 species
GAUGAACGCUGACAGAAUGCUUAACACAUCAGCAAUUGAUUGGUGGCGGACGGGUGAGUAACGCGUAAAGAACUUGCCUCACAGCUAGGGACAACAUUUAGAAAUGAAUGCUAAUACCUGAUACUGUGAGAGAGCUUUGCGUCCCAUUAGCUAGUUGGAGAGGUAACAGCUCACCAAGGCGAUGAUGGGUAGCCGGCCUGGGAGGGUGAACGGGCACAAAGGGACUGGGAAACGGGCCUUACGCCUUCGGGAGGCAGCGGGGGGGACUUGUGGAAGAUGGGCCGAAGUCUGAUCCAGCAAUUCUGUGUGCACGAUGAAGUUUUCGGGAUGUAAAGUGCUUUCAGUUGGGAAGCGGUACCAACAGAAGAAGUGACGGCUAACUACGUGCCAGCCGCCGCGGUAAUAC